rnacentral:rRNA from 1 species
GACGAACGCUGGCGGCGUGCUUUACACAUGCAAGUCGAACGGUAAGGCCCUUCUUUUUUGUGGUGCUCGAGUGGCGAAUGGGUGAUUAAUCAGUAAGUAAUCUGCCCUUGACUUUGGGGUAACUUCAGGUUACUUGGUCUCAUACCCGAUAUACGCUCCUGCUCCAUGGUUGUUGUUGGAUCGCUUCGGCGGUUGGGGAUGGACCGGCGGCUUAUCAGCUUGUUGGUGGGGUAGUGGCUUACCAAGGCCUUGACGGGUACCCGGCAUGAGAGGGUGACCGGGCACAAUGGGACUGAGGUACGGCGCAGACUCCUACGGGAGGCAGCAGUGGGAAAUAUUACACAAUGGGCGGAAGCCUAAUGCAGCAACGCCGCGGUCGGGAUGACGGCCUGCGGGUUGUGAACCGCUUUCGCCUGAGAAGGAGCGUGAAUGACGGUAAUGGAUAAAGAAGCACCGGCUAACUACGUG